GUCGUCUUUGGAAAUUAUUACAAAGUUCAGCUGGAAGUCUCCUUCUCCCUGUGGACCUUCCCCAAUUCCACUGGCUGCCCUCCUCAAGGACCCCUGUGAGAUAAAUUCAGAAAUGGCUAUCCUUGGCUUCCCUGGGGAACAAGAGUGCCUGCAGUUCUUUUCCCACUUCUUUUACUUUUCUAUUUCACUGGGCUCUCUAAAUUCAUUUCAGCUCUAGGGAUUUGGAAAGGAUUCCGUGAUGGUUAAUAUUGAGUGUCAACUUGAUUGGAUUGAAGGAUGCAAAGUAUUGUUCCUGGGUGUGUCUGUGAGGGUGUCACCAAAGGAGAUGAACAUUUGAAUCAGUGAGCUGGGAGACACAAACCCAUACUCAAUCUUGGGGGACACCAUCUAAUCAGCUGCCAGUGCAACUAGGAUAAAAUCAGGCAGAGAAAUUUGGAAAGACUAGACUGGCUGAGUCUUCUGGCCUUCAUCUUUCUCCCAUGCUAGAUGCUUCCUGACCUCGAAUAUCAGACUCCAAGUUCUUUAGCUUUUGGACUCUUGGACCUUUGGCCACAGACGGAAGGCUGCACUUUUGAAGUUUUGGGACUUGGACUGGCUUCCUUGCUCCUCAGCUUACAGAUGGCCUAUUGUGGGACUUCACCUUGUGAUUGUGAUUUCAAACCUUCUGGGUUUCUUCCCAGCGCUAAAUCCUGUCGACUGGAUUCACUAGGAUGAAUAGAGAAAGAAGUGUUACAUUUUAAGAUAAUUUCUUUUCUAAACACACAGAAAGCAUCCUCAAGACACAAGGCAGAUGCCACGUUCCAGUAUGUUUUAUGGCACAAAAAGGUGACCCAAGUCUGGAUGUAAAUGUGUUUUUAGGCAACUUCCACGUGGAAAGAGGUACUCAUCAAGUUUAGCUGAAUAGUCUUGUGAUUCACAGCUUGUCUUUUGAGAAGAGUGGAGGAAAUCGUGUCAUUUAUCAUGGGUAAUUCCAGUAUGGCUCACACUAUCAAUCUCUCUGACAAUCUCCUCAACAACUCGAAGACCAAUCUGUGGCUGGAAACUGUCCAGGUGAUAAGCAUCAGGAUGCUGUGGGCCAGGCCUGCUACAACACCUGCUCUAAAGUCAGAUGUACCAUCUGCAGUGAAUGUAACCCAACUUAUGAAGAGGAAUCCAACAGUGUAACAAUGUUACAAUAUGCACGUAAGAAGGGACUUAGUGAUGUCCCCAGUGGGUUCACCUCUCUCUUUGAACUGAGCAAUUUUAUGAUUAUAGGAACAACUGUUUUCUUCUUUCAUAACAUGAGUAAAAAAGCCUGAUCAACUUCUGGUGGUAUAAAAUAUUCAGAUUCUUAGUAAAUAAGAAGUUUAGAGAUGGAAAUAAAUGCUUUAUGGAUUUGUUGUCUCAGCUAGACACAGGCUUCGAGAAUUUAGAAUAUUUUUCUUUAAUAUUCACUAUCUGAAAAAUAAAUAAGAAUGGAUUUUUAGUUUUAAAUGA
rnacentral:lncRNA from 1 species